UUGAUUUCGUCGCCGUCAAGGAAAACUCCGCUUCCGUCUGAAGACUUCGACUUCUCUUGGCUUGCUCAUCGGCUGCGUCUCUUUGCGAUGGCGCGUCCACGCAUGCAGAUACACUACGUCCCGCCGUACGCUACAACUAUUUGUGAUGUAAUUAGAAGAUAUCUUCAGAACCUUUGUGACGCUUUGAAGAAUUACUGGCCUGUACAAAAAAGAAAACUCCCGACGAUAAAGGUAAAAAAUCGAGACUCCUCUUCAAUCUCCACCAAAGAGAGGAUAAGAUCAUCAAGUGGAUCCCGAACUGUCAUUUACAAUAACUGUUGUAAAAGUGGCAAAGUCCCUCUUCCUCCUUAG
rnacentral:misc_RNA from 1 species